rnacentral:miRNA from 1 species
GUCAGUAGACACAUUCCAGCCAAUCAGCAGCAGACCCUCCCUCCCAGACCCUCCCACCUCCUGGACAGCUAACUAAGAAUGCAGCUUCACAAUGAAUGUAAAAUGGAUGCUGUCCAGGAGGUGGAAGGGGCUGGGAGGGAGGGUCUGCUGCUGAUUGGCUGGAAUGUGUCUGCUG